GCGCCCGUAGCUCAGCAGGAUAGAGCGGCGGUUUCCUAAACCGCAGGCCACCUGUACGAUUGCGCUCGGGCACG
rnacentral:tRNA from 1 species